GAAAUCAAAGGCGGGUUUAGUGUUUAGACUUUAGACAAAUAUCCACUCCUAAUUUAAUUCCCUUCCAACACUCUAAAUUCACUGAACCCAAUCCCCCCUCCGCUCUCAAAUUCACUCAUACCUUAAAAUUCACUGACCCCGACAUCUAUGACCUCAGACCUCCGUUUCCUCGACGGCGAUCUCUUCCCCGAAGGUUUAUCAGAGUAUGCAGUGGUCAGGUUAAGGAAGGGUUCCUGAAACAAAAUCGAAUUCUUGCGUGGAUUGAUUUUGUGGUUAAUCUACAGAAGUGAGCUUUUAUUUUUUGAGGUCUUAACAGUGAAGAGCUCCUCUUUUACUUUGUUCCUUGUUGGGUUGGUUUGUCGAAAUGAGCGUACUCUGAUAUUUGUACUGAGCUUGUGUUAAUACUUUGCUGACAAUAGCAUUUGAAGCAAGAAUCAGCUUAAUGUGAGGAUUGGUAUGAGAUUCCUUUCUUUCUGUUUCUUGUUUCGUGUUUUCGCUGCCAGAGUUGCUAUUUUGCUUAGAGAAGAUGCUCGUUAAACUCAUAAUCGACUGAAUUCCAGAAAGGAUUGUCUUCUUUUCUUUUUUGGUAGUCUUUGUAUACUAAGAUGCUUGGUACUUAUAACUGCAGAAUGGCCUAUCCAAGACUAGAGUGAUUGAGUCUUCUGGUAUGUUUUCCGAUAUUGUUAACCGCUGAAAGCCAUCCUGUGGAACCACUUGGGUCCAGAAUGCAGUUGCCAAAUUACCUGGAGACCACCAGCAUAUCCCACUUUGACAAGGAAUUUGGUCAUUUUGGUGCAGAGAUUUGUCCUUUUGAAAUGCUUUCAAAUUUAGGAGGACACGGUGGGGUUGUACUGUUAAUGGUUUCUUACAAAUCAUAGGAGAAAAGAACACUGUUGGAUUAAGUGAUCAACAAAUCAUACCUUAGUAAACUGAAAAAUUAUAUGCUCUUUCGAAAUUGAGAGAGAGAGAGAGAGAGAGAGAGAGAGAGAGAGAUUAGCCAAAACACGCAGAUGUGGGAGUGAUUAGCUAGAAGUCUUCUUACCUAACCAUAUAUGUUAGGGGAUUUGUUUUUCUGAAUAAGAUUUGAAAUACUACAUCUCUACUACUAUAAAAUCGGCAUCCAAGAAAAUCACCUAUGUAAUUUUACCUUCACACAUAAGCAUAGAGAUAAUUACGUAAAAAUACACAUGCUUAAUUAAUAUGUUUUACCAAAACUAUCAUUCGUCAUUACAAAAAAAAAACUAUCAUUCGUAGUAAACAUAAUUACAUAAAAGGAUUGUGUUUCAAGAGUGCACUUCAAACAAAAUUCUGCAAACCCGUGAGAUGAAAACGCGUGCAUCGCACGGGUACGAGGCUUGUGGUUAUUAAUUGGGUAAUUAUAUAUCCAUAUGGUGUAAACUCUUUUAUAAAUUACUAGUAGUUUUAAGAUUUUAGUGUAAUUAAAUCAUUAUGCAAUCAAUUUACAUUAAAAAAAUUUAUAUCAUAAGGCUUACGCCUUACUGAGGCUCUCCCCGGAACGCCUCGACUACACUUAAAAGACAUUGAUUAUGAUCGAGGUUCAUCCAUACAAUAUGGAGAAGACAAUAUCAUUUUCUGUACUUCAUGGUAAAAAGGCAACUUCGAAUCCAGGUAUAUUUCUCCUACCUUUUCCAUCUCGUAAUUUACUUCAUAACUUAUUAACUUAUCAUACUUUGUGUUAAAACAAGCAUAUGCUGAAAAUGACUUGGUUGCUAUAUAUGUUAUAGUAGAUUCCUCUGUGCAUUGAUAGAUUGUCAUUGCUGUUUGUGUAACUGUACAUGUAUGGUGUAGCUGUAGGAUCAGUUUCUAUUAUGUAUAUAUCAUUUGUAUUCAUAAGCUUUGUAAGUGAUCACAAUCAGCCUAUAUAAUGUACACUGUAAAGAAAAAUAUUGGAUUAAUGAAAACCAUUCUCCACAAGCCAAAUGACUUGGUUGCUAUAUAUGUUAUAGUAGAUUCCUCUGUGCAUUGAUAGAUUGUCAUUGCUGUUUGUGUAACUGUACAUGUAUGGUGUAGCUGUAGGAUCAGUUUCUAUUAUGUAUAUAUCAUUUGUAUUCAUAAGCUUUGUAAGUGAUCACAAUCAGCCUAUAUAAUGUACACUGUAAAGAAAAAUAUUGGAUUAAUUGAAAACCAUUCUCCACAAGCUAAUCAUAAAGCUCCCAUUUGUUUAGACAGGUUUCUCUUAAGUUUUAACAAUAAUAGUUGGGACUUUAUUUAUGCUUAGAGUACUACAACUGGAAUGGAAUCAAGAUAGGUAUUCUAAUGGGCCAUCAUUCAUUGGUGAUGCGAAAGCAGUAGACCUAGUAAAGUAGUAAGCCAACUCAAGUUUAGUUAGUAGUCUAAGUCAUCUACGCAUAAGAGAUUUUGAAGUUGAUGCUAAUUUAGUGAAGAAUAUAUCUUUACCAAGCUACAAAUCUUCACUCCAGAGGGGGAAGGGUUUUUCGUGCUGUAUUGAUGAUCUAUGAUCAAGAAGAAUAUGAUGAACGCUGAAAAUGUAUUGCCAAGAAUAACAUUCGUCUUUAUCUUGUCCUCCUUUAUGAUCAACUAUGAGUACUCCUUGCGAUUUCAGGCUCUGCUCUCUUGUUGUUCUACUGGAGAAUCGGCUUCUAUUCUUCAAUGUGGUAACUUUCAUGCACCAUUACCUGCCGGAACUAAUAUGAAAUGCCUUGCAGAUGCAGGCCACUUCAUCAAUGCGUACUCAUCAUUUAGUAUAUUCUAAUCUUGAAAUAUAGUUUUCUGUUGCAGUCGAUGCCUCAUAUUAACUAGACAGGAAAACUAUUUCUGGGUCACAACAAAUUGAAGCACGUUAUAGUCAAGUGGCUGCACUACAGUGUUCAGCAAACCAUUUACCUGCAUCCUGGAUUUCAAGAUUGAGACCAGGGUCGGUAACUGGUUAAAAUAUAAUCAUCUCUAUCUACUUUAGAGUCCUUUUACUACCCUCAAAAUGUGGUAUGGCAACUCCGAUCCGUACUCUUUUUUUUUAAUCCUUCAUUGCACAUCCCCACUUCCCAAUAUUAUGUAUUGUCCCCAACCUUUUAAUCUGAUUCCUUUUCUUUUCUGGAAA